UAAUAUACAUACACAUGUAAGGAUGUUGAAAAUUUGGUUGUUAUCGUUUCUUAUUUUACUUAUUCUUAAUAGUGUUUUAUCAAAUCCACUGAAGAAAAAGGAAACAGCACUGAGAACGUCACUAAGAAGAGACAAGCGAUGGAGCGACGACAUGUUUGGAAAAGGAUGUAGAUGUACCUUCCACAUACAUUGCCAUAGUGACGAGGGAUGUCGCCAUCACGCCAUCGGUUCACAUGAGAUUUAUAGAUGUGUAUAUUCCUGCUGCGGAACAAGAUGUGUGCAUCAUCACGUUCAUGUCGUUCACAACAGCAAAGAGGUUGGCGCCCCGGUGUAAUUGAGAAAUAAAAGAUACAGAAUUGGCGUUUUAGAAGAUCAUUCAUGGACAUAAAAUGAAAUAAGACUACAUAGUUAGUGUUUUUUUUUUUUUUUUAAUAAAUGAGGGAGAAUUCGA